GGCGGGUCUGAGUACAGUAGUUUUACAAUUAAUUGAUCACAGCCAUUACAGAUUUCUUUGUUCCCUCUCCAUUUUCACUGCUUUACUUGACUAGUCUAAA
rnacentral:Y_RNA from 1 species